UAAGUGAAAGAAGCCAGUCACAAGAGACCACAUAUUGUAUGAUUUCAUUCAUAUGACAUGUCCAGAUAGGCCAAUCUAGAAAGUUAAUUAAUGGUUGCCUAGGGCUGGGGGAAUGGAGGGAAUGGAGGGCCACUGCUAAGGGGUAUAGGGUUUCUCUUUGGGGGUGACAAAAAUGUCCCAAAAUGCAUUGUGAUGGUUGAAUAACUGUGAAAAUACUAAAGAUCACUGAACUGUACACUCUCAACUGGUAUAUUAUACACUAUGUGAGUUAUAUCUUAUAAAGCUGUUACAAAAGAAAAAGAUGACAACUGCAUGUCCAUGGGCCUUGGUUGCUGACUAGCCAGUAGUGCUGCAAAGUCAGGAGUAAAAUCUUGAUCAGUGUCUCUCUAAACUGGACUUGGAGGAAAGCCAGUUUGUGAAGUGUUAAGGUGGACUGAGUCAAAGACUGCUCACCUCAAAUCUGGCUAUAAAAGGAAGGAGAGAGCGAGAAUGGUGGGUAGAAGGGAUAAGAAAGUCAGGUGAAAGUCUGGGCUCUCUACAGGGCAUUUUUCAAGUUGGGGGCCCUACACUUGAUUGAAGUACCCUGAUUCCCAGCCUGGGUCCCCAGAAUCCUAAAGACCAGAAGGUGUUACUAGUAAUCCAUGAACAAUUUUCCUUAUUUCAGAAAGACUAAUGGAAAUCUUACGUGUCUGUAAAUGAAUGCUGUACAGGCCAUCCAUAAUAUCACUUCUUUACUUUGAACUGGAAAUCACUACCUCAAGUUGUGAUAACCUUGGUUAUUGUGUGGGGAUCAUCUUUGAUUUGUUGACAUAUCUAUACACACAACACACACAAAUCUGUGCUUAAUAAAAAUGGGCAGAUAAAUCUACACAUGUACUUUGGUAAACAAAUUGUUUUUCCAACAUGGGGCGAAUGGGGUUUUCAACAAAGGAGCUCCUAGGAGGUGCAAAAAUUGGAAAUCUCUGUUAAAGAACAAAAGAGAGAAAAAGACAUGGAUAGGAAGACUUUGAGAUGUGAAACAAAAAUUAUGUCAUAGUGGGGUGAUGACCCAGGAGUGACAUUUAGCCAGGAAAGCAGGAUGGAAACACAGACCCUCUAUUUGGAGGGGAGGAAUACAGAACAUUGGGCAUGUGGAGCACAGGCCAGGGGGCACCAGGGAAGCAUCAAAAACUCAGGGAUCACUGUGCACCAGGUCUAGGCUGGGCCCCAUGCACUGUCUUAUUCAAUCCUUAUGAGAUGGGGCCUCUUUUCAUAGUUUUAAAAGUCAUUUCAUUAUAUGGGUUUUUCUCAUAAGCCACCCCAAAUCCUUUAUGGAAUGAAAUCAGGCAUACUAUGCACACCUAAAAUUUGAGGGUGAUUGUUUUUUGCACCAAUAAUGAAAAUGAGGGUUAGCAAGAUUUACCAAUGUCACCAACUAGUAAGGAGUAGAAUUCAAACUCAGAAACGGGGGUGGGAGGGUCAUUAUUCACUUCCCCUCUUUCCUAUUUCCAGUCAAUCUCCAAGAAGUGUCAAGUCCACUUUUUUUUUUUGAGAGUAAUCAUUUAUUCUUGCUCACAUGUCUACAGGUUGGUUAAGGUAGCUCUGCAGAUUUUGGCUGGGCUCAGCCAGGCUUUGCUAUAAGUUGCAUAUUGGGUCUGAGUCUGUUCCUUGUACCAGUGGGCUGUCUGUGGCAUGUUUUUAUAGUGAGUAGACAAAUGUGAUGGACAAAUCCAACUCCAUAAACACAUUUCAAGCCUCUAAACCCACUUCUUAACUAUUUUUCAAACCUAUCCAUUUCUCUCUAUCGUUGCUGAUGCUUCUCUAGCACAACAGUCUCUAUUGGUUUUCCUUCCAGAUGGCCUGGAUUUAACUACAACAUGUGACUUUCUCUUUCUGCCUCACUCUUAUCUUUAAAUGGGGAGCAUAAUAGAACCCACCACAUGGGAUUAUUAUGAAGGUUCAAUGAGCUAAUACAUGUAGAGCACUCAGCAUAGAAUAUGAUAUGCACCCAAUAAAGGUUACCCAUUAUUAUUCCCUAUCAUGUCACACCCUGGCUUAAAAUGUUAGUCUCCCAUUGCCUUUAAGAGUUUGGACUUCUCAGCACGAUGCACAAGGCUCUUCAUGACUCAGCCGCACUGAGCUCUUUAGUCCUCCAGCCCCUUCUUUUCCCACUCUCUUCCUCCUGACUUCUGUGCUUUAGCCACUAUGAACUUCCAUUAGUUUUUAAAGGCACUGUAAUAACCUUUUCCUGUCCCUCUUAUGAGUUUUCUCAGCCCUCUGUAUAUCCUUUAUCACAACACUUACUGUGCUAGAAUGGCCCAUUUACUUAUAUGAUUCUUCCUUUAUACUAUAAGCCCCAGGAUGGCCAGAAUAAGAUUUCAGUCUUAUUCAUCACUAAUUCCUCAGAACUUGCCAUUGGAGGCUCUCAAUCAUAUUUUACCAGAUAGGUGAAUAGGUAGGUGCAUGGAGGGAGGAAAUGAAACAGAUCUGUGGCUCCAAAGUCCAGCACCCUUUGUACUACUCCAGGCUGCUUGGCAGUUCUCUCUCCAAAGGAGAAAGUGAGGGCCUUACUGAGAGGACUGAGGGAGGGUGGGGCUUGGGGACACCUGCAUUACUCCCUCUCCAGUCCCAUCUCCAAACUGACUAGCAUUUUCUUUCUUACGAAUCUAAUAUUUGUAACUUCCCUGCUUAAAAAUCCAAAGGACUCCCAAUGCUUAUAGGGCAAGGAGAGUACCCCUUAGAGUGGCACACAAGAACUUGGCAUCUGGCCCCCACAUCUCUCUUCCGCCUUGUCUUCCUCCCUCUGCAGCUCACAACUCUGGGCCAUCUCCCAAAGACACACUGCUCUUUCCUGCCUGUGUGACUUCUCCAGGUCCCUCUCUUUUGGAUGAAUCUUUUCACACCCAGCUCAGUUGUCACUGCUUCCAUGAAGUUUUCCUAAUCUCCCAAGCAUCAUUAUAUACUGUUGGCUGCAAUAAUAAUCUAUAGGACCUUCUGUUAUCACCCACCUCAAUCUGUGCUGUAUUUUUUUUAUGUACUGUUUGUCUUCCCUGUUAGAAUAUAAAGUGUCCAAAAUUAACAUAUAUUCAACUUGGAGAACCCAGCCUUACUACUUGUGAACUGUAUACAUUUAGGCAAGUUACUUAGACCCUUGAAGCCUAAGAUCUAACAGUUUGUAAAAUUAUUUGUAAAAGUGGAGGAGAUAAUUUCUACUUAUGAGUUUGGUGCCUGGAAUACUGAACUAGCCCUGGAAAGUAGACAUGGCCAAAAGUGUCCAUAAAAGCAGGGUGUCCAGUGGGGCCAGAGGGAGUGCUGAAUGGGGGUUCCGUGGGACACGGAAGGGCCAGAAGGCCCAGGAGUUCGGAGCAGCGUCAGUGUUAGUAGGUAGUUGGCUAGACCAGGCCCCAUUUGAGAGCUGGCCAGAGUGUCAGAGCUGGCCUGUCCCUCCCCUCUCCCCACAGUCCGCAUCUGGGCAGCCUGGGCUGACACCUCCUUGGCACCACACAGACAACAGCCAUGGCCUGGCCAUGCAAGGGUGCCCCAGGCCCUCUGCCCUUCACCUGCUCUGCAGCUAUAAAUCGGUGGUUUCCCCUUCCUUGACUAUUCCAAAUGCCGCCCCACCUUUCCUUCUCCCCACAAUUCAAACCACGAGGGGAUGGAUCCCCUUGACAUCUUGAGGCGGGCCAGCCAAGUGUGGAGCUAGAGGAAGGAAGACUGGCUCUCUUGCUCCUCGCUGCUGCCAGUGGAGAGGGAUGAACUUCACAGCCGCAGUUUUCCAUUCUCCUCCCAGCUGCAGGUGAUUUAAGCUUGUUGGAUUUAUAUAACACUGGGAAACGAUAAACUGUGUAAAUUUGCUAUGUUUUCCAGGGACAGUUAUUUAUGGAGGGGCAUUUUUAACUCAAGUGCUAGAAGUGUUAAAUCAUUAUAAUAAAUUCAUGCUAUUCAGACUUUCUUACAUUGUAAUAAAUUUUUUCUAAGCAUGAA